ensembl:lincRNA Gm12511 predicted gene 12511
AGUCUGGGCAGAACUAAGCCUCAUUCCCAGGGGUGUAUUCAGACUUUAGCAAGAUGCCAAGCAGAGAAAUGGGAGUGUUUCAUGUCUGGGUAAAAGAACAGACAGAAGACAAAGGACUCGAGGUUUCUGUUGCGGAUGGAGAAGGCAGAUAUCGUCUACAGUUCGAAGCACACAAGCAGGGUGAUGACAGCCGUGGUAGCUUCCUGGCCACCACCUCACACCUCCUCUGACCUGGUACGGACAAGGGUGUGAGCAGAUUACUUUCUGGACUUCAGUAAACUCAUCAUUAAAAGGAGAAGCGCAGGCUGUGGAUGCAGUUCAUCUGUUGUAUGUGCGAAGCCCUGGGCUCACUUCCCAGCACCACAGAAACAGGGACACGGAUUGGCUGUGAACUUGUCAUGCAGUUGAGGAUGGCCUUAAACAACUGGCUCUUCUGCCUCCACCUUCUGAGAGCUAGGCUUUACCGCAGGCUCAUCUCUGACCUUUGGCUCUUUCUCAGAUGUUUGAAAGCCAAUGUUCCAGUUCCUGUGGAAAAGCUGCUGAAGUUUUGUUUCCCUUUCCCUUCCUCUCCCCCCCCCCCCCCCCCCCCCCCGCAACAACAAAACCCAUGAAACAAAACAACAGCACCCACAUUUUACGAAUUUCCCCACUGAGAUCUUGUAGUUAUUUUCGUAAAGCUGGACAAGGUGUUGCACAUGUUAAAUCCCAGAACUUAGGAAGGGGAGGGUCACUUUGAUUGUCAGGCCAACGGGAGCCACAUAUAGAGACCUAUCUUUUAAACAGAGGGUUUAUUCUUUAGUAAGUCAUACUUUAUUUUUAGAUCUAUUCAUUUCAUGUGGAUGGGUGUUCUGCCUGCACCUUGUGCACGCAGUGACUGAGGAAGCUAGAGUGGGAGCCCUUAGAGCCGGAGUUAACACUGGACUCGAUGUCUUCGCUUGGGCUGGGUACUGAACCCUGGAUUUCUGGAAGAGCAGGCAGUGCUCUUUACCACUCAUCCAUCUCUACAGCUCUGUGCUUUUUAAAAAUGAAAAAAAAAAUUUAGUAAGAAUCAAGAUAGAAACUGGGCAGGGUGGCUCAUGCCUUUAAUCCCAAUACUCAGGAGGAAGAGGCAGACAUAUCUUUGUAAGUUCAAGGCCAGUUUGGUUUCCAGAGCAAGGUUCAGGAUAGGAGACCAACAACCAAAGGUCACAAGUUUAAGGCCAGGGCAAAUUAGUGAGAACCUGUCUCAAAAUACAGUUAUGAAGGCCCAGGGAUGGAUCUGGAAGCCAGUGGUGGGAAUCUUCCUAGUUAUGCCAGAGAGACUGGGCCAAGCCUCAGUACCACUGACGAGAAUCAUACACGACCCCAAACAAAACGAACCAGAAUCCUGUUGAAAUGCUAGGGAGCGCCACCAGGCCCGUUCAGCUUAGAUUUUAAAAUUCACUCUAACUCAUGUUCAUUGCAUUUUAAAAAGGUAACAGUUUUUUCUUAUGAUAAUUAUCUUUUUUUUUUUUUUUUUUUUUUUUUUUUUUUUUUCUUUGUCUCAGUAGCUUCUAGUUUUCCUUAGUGUUUUUUAAAAUAAAUGUCAUUAUUUGUGAUUUAAGGAGCUUAAUAAUGUAUACAUGAGUCAAUCUAAAAUAAAGAUGGCUGCUUUGUUAA